UCAUCCACUAAUGAAUGAGGUGCCAUCUGUAAUAAUUAAGGUUAUUCUGUUUGUUCUUUCCCUGCAGCAAAACUUCUAAAGAUUUGGAGAAGAUAGAAAACAACCCAAAAGGCUAAAGCACUAUUGUACUUGUAUCCUAGAAUUUCCUGGAAAACUGAUGUUCUGUUGGCCUGAAGGAUUUACUUUUCUUCUAAAAGUCAGCAGUUUACUCCCUCUUCUCUGCAUGUUCCUGAUAUAAGUCACUGGAUGUGAGCUGAGAGUUCUGAGAAGAGAGAGGAAAUGUAACCUCCUUGACUGUAUACAUAUAAUUUUACAGAAGAAAACAUGACCCUUGCUCUUCAGGACCUCUGACUGGAGGAUGGAGUAGAGAGCUCUUCCCAAAGCCUUCAUUUAAAGAGGACAUUGUGGCCAUCCAUCUCUUCCUCUGCCACCUGCUGCACCCACCCCUGUACUGGGUACGUUCUCUUUCUC
rnacentral:lncRNA from 1 species